rnacentral:rRNA from 1 species
CCCGCUGAACUUAAGCAUAUCAAUAAGCGGAGGAAAAGAAACCAACAGGGAUUGCCUUAGUAGCGGCGAGUGAACAGGCAAGAGCUCAGAUUUGAAAGCCUUAACAGGCAUUGUAUUCUGAAGUUGGAGUCCUGGAUUUCGAUGCCUAAGUCUCCUGGAAAGGAGCACCUUAGAGGGUGAUAGUCCCGUACGGCAUUGGCCCAUUGUAGGACUUUAACAUGGAGUCGAGUUGUUUGGGAAUGCAGCUCAAACGGGUGGUAUGCUCCAUCUAAAGCUAAAUAUUGGCGAGAGACCGAUAGCGAACAAGUACUGUGAAGGAAAGAUGAAAAGAACUUUGAAAAGAGAGUGAAAUAGUACGUGAAAUUGUUGAAAUGGAAGGAUAGGCCGCUAACCAUGUAGCGUCGUGUUUGGGGGGUGGAUAAAAGCUGAUGAAUGUAGCUCCUCGGAGUGUUAUAGCAUCGGUUAAUACACCCAUCUGGGCGCGAGGACCUUUAGGACGCUACUAAAUGGUGGUCUAUCACCCGUCUUGAAACACGGACCAAGGAGUCUAUUGCCUGCGCGAGUGUUUGGGUGGCAAACCCAUACGCGAAGUGAAAGCGAGUGGUUCCAACCCUUCGGGGGGCAGAAUCAGCCGACUGUUCAUAGGAACAGAUUGAGUGGAGCGUGGGUGAUGGGACCCGAAAGAUGGUGAACUAUGCCUGAAUAGGGUGAAGCCAGAGGAAACUCUGGUGGAGGCUCGUAGCGGUUCUGACGUGCAAAUCGAUCGUCAAAUUUGGGUAUAGGGGCGAAAGACUAAUCGAACCAUCUAGUAGCUGGUUCCUGCCGA